rnacentral:rRNA from 1 species
UGGGGAAUAUUGCACAAUGGGCGAAAGCCUGAUGCAGCGACGCCGCGUGAGGGAUGAAGGCCUUCGGGUUGUAAACCUCUUUCAGUAGGGAAGAAGCGAAAGUGACGGUACCUACAGAAGAAGCACCGGCUAACUACGUGCCAGCAGCCGCGGUAAUACGUAGGGUGCGAGCGUUGUCCGGAAUUAUUGGGCGUAAAGAGCUUGUAGGCGGUUUGUCGCGUCUGCCGUGAAAAUCCGGGGCUCAACUCCGGACUUGCGGUGGGUACGGGCAGACUAGAGUGUGGUAGGGGAGACUGGAAUUCCUGGUGUAGCGGUGAAAUGCGCAGAUAUCAGGAGGAACACCGAUGGCGAAGGCAGGUCUCUGGGCCACUACUGACGCUGAGAAGCGAAAGCGUGGGGAGCGAACAGGAUUAGAUACCCUGGUAGUCCGCGCCGUAAACGUUGGGAACUAGGUGUGGGUCUCGAUUCCACGAGAUCCGUGCCGCAGCUAACGCAUUUAA